AACGAACGCUGGCGGCAUGCCUAACACAUGCAAGUCGAACGUGAUCCGGGGCUUGCUCCGGUGAAAGUGGCGGACGGGUGAGUAACGCGUGGGAACCUGCCCAGUGGUCGGGGAUAACUGCGGGAAACUGCAGCUACUACCCGGUAUGCCCCAAGGGGGCAAGAUUUAUCGCCAUUGGAGGGGCCCGUGUCGGAUUAGGGAGUUGGUGGGGUAACGGCCUAUCAAGCCUACGAUCCGUAGCUGGUCUGAGAGGAUGAUCAGCCACACUGGGACUGAGAUACGGCCCAGACUCCUACGGGAGGCAGCAGUGGGGAAUAUUGGACAAUGGGCGCAAGCCUGAUCCAGCAAUGCCGCGUGAGUGAAGAAGGCCUUAGGGUUGUAAAGCUCUUUCGGCGGGGACGAUGAUGACGGUACCCGCAGAAGAAGCCCCGGCUAACUCCGUGCCAGCCGCCGCAGUAAAAC
rnacentral:rRNA from 1 species